UACGUAGGGGGCUAGCGUUGUCCGGAAUCAUUGGGCGUAAAGAGCGUGUAAGCGGCCCGGUAAGUCCGCUGUAAAAGUCAAAGGCUCAACCUUUGAAUGUCAGUGGAUACUGCCGGGCUAGAGUCCGGAAGAGGCGAGUGGAACUCCUGGUGUAGCGGUGGAAUGCGCAGAUAUCAGGAAGAACACCAACGGCGAAGGCAGCUCGCUGGGACGGUACUGACGCUGAGACGCGAAAGCGUGGGGAGCGAACAGG
rnacentral:rRNA from 1 species